GGGAAUAAACCCCACUACGUGUAGUGGGCUGAAUGUACCUGAGGAAUAAGGAUCGGCUAACUCCGCGCCAGCAGCCGCGGUAAUACGGAGGAUCCGAGCGUUAUCCGGAUUUAUUGGGUUUAAAGGGUGCGUAGGCGGCUUGUUAAGUCAGGGGUGAAAGACGGUGGCUCAACCAUCGCAGUGCCUUUGAUACUGGCGAGCUUGAAUGUACUUGAGGUAGGCGGAAUGUGACAAGUAGCGGUGAAAUGCAUAGAUAUGUCACAGAACACCGAUUGCGAAGGCAGCUUACUAAAGUAUGAUUGACGCUGAGGCACGAAAGCGUGGGGAUCAAACAGGAUUAGAUACCCUGGUAGUCCACGCCCUAAACGAUGAAUACUCGAUGUUGGCGAUAUACAGUCAGCGUCCAAGCGAAAGCGUUAAGUAUUCCACCUGGGGAGUACGGCCGCAAGGUUGAAACUCAAAGGAAUUGACGGGGGCCCGCACAAGCGGAGGAGCAUGUGGUUUAAUUCGAUGAUACGCGAGGAACCUUACCCGGGCUUGAAAGUUAGUGAAGGUACCAGAGACGGUACCGUCCUUCGGGACACGAAACUAGGUGCUGCAUGGCUGUCGUCAGCUCGUGC
rnacentral:rRNA from 1 species